rnacentral:lncRNA from 1 species
UUUGCCACUGCCACGAGUAGACUGCAUGGAAAUCAUACAAUAAGAGUAACUCGCAAAAAAGUAAGACAACCUCCACAAAUGAGAGUUCUUCCCAUUCAGAUAGCAAGUGGGUUGCUUUUCAGCAUUGUAAGUACUCCAUCAGGAAGAAAAUUUAUGGACAUUUUUUGGGCUUUGGAUUUUGUGUAGUUGUAUUCUUGGUUUUUUGCCUUUUUCCUUAUGUUAUAGUAUCUAUUUUUUCAAUAAAUAAAAAAUUUUGAACCUCCACUUAAUUUCUCUUUUUUAAGAAAAUUCACAUGAUGAUAUAUGUACCGAGAGUCCAGAAAGAUUGUAGAAAUAAUAGAUGGGCAUCCGGAAAGUUGUGAUUUGUUUGGACGGUUGGACCCAUGAUGCAUUAUAUCUAUGUAAAAGUUGUGAUAUAUAUGACAUGCGCAAAAUUUAGAACUUGAGGUCCUCCUGUCACUUCCUUUGUCAGUUUGGCAUGUACUGUUUUAAGUGAAGAUUUAGUUUCUAAUAUAAGUGAAUAUGCAAAAUUGUUUUAUGAACUUAAGACCAAAUCAAUGGGGUAACCAGAUAAGGUUUGGUAAUUGCGGUUUUGAUAACUGCUAAGUAGAUGCGACAUGUUUAUAUUAAUUCUUAAACAAGUUUCCAUUCUUAUUUUCGAAAAAAGAGAUGGUGAUAGUUUGUGUCAAGACAUGCCCUAAGAAUCUCUUGUUAGUUGACCAGAAUUGAUAGCAGACACAUACAAGUGUUUCAGAAAUGGAAGUUCUCUCUCUCUCUCUCUCUCAAAGUAUGUGUUUAUGAUGAUAGUAACAGUGACCUAAUUGUGGCUUCAAAUCCAACUAUCAUUAGAACUUACCACAUGCCAAAAUUCAAAUAGAUACAAUAACGGAAAGAACAAAGCACAAAAAAAUGUAAAUGGUUGCUUCUCAGAUAUAGAUCUAAGUGUGCGAAGAGCUUUAAGAGCUUAUUUUUUGGUGUUAUUAUCUGAUUUUAUAUGUUCACUAUAUAAAUAUUUAUUCUUCUGAAUGAUCUGCAAAGACAAUAUCAUACAUUAGUUAUGUCAAAUCAAUUAGUGUCUUCUCUCUCCUGACAUGUCUUGAUCGUGAGCCUCUGAAGCAUGAAUAAUCUUUUGCAUUUGCCUUGUGACAGGAUACAUGUUCUACUUUCAGGCAAUGCAUUGUAUUGGUGAUUUGGUCACAAGAAAUCCUUGUAAUCUUGAUGCUCUUGCAAGUAAAUCAGUUGGGGAGCUCAUGUUGGACCUGCCUUAAAUGCCAUUUCCUUUGUUGCUUUGAGUACCUCUACCACAGGAAUCUAUGGCAGAUGAUUAUAUGUUCAAGUGCUUCUGUGGGGUUAUCUAUUUUUAACUUUAUGAGCUACAUAUGAACAAUUGUUGUUUAUUGGUUAACAUGCUAUGCAUAUUCACCAUAGCUUUUUGAAUUCUACUGUACAU